GCGGACGUGGCGAAAUUGGCAGACGCGAUAGCCUUAGGAGCUAUUGGGGCAACCCUUGAAGGUUCAAAUCCCUCCGUCCGCA
rnacentral:tRNA from 2 species